rnacentral:lncRNA from 10 species
UGAGGAUUAACAUUGCAACACUGCAUAGGCACAUAAAGCCACCUGAAAGUCAAGAUGAGGCAGGUUGCAGUGAUGGCAGGGAGCCAAUGUUGAUUUCUGAUAUGGGAGGAUGAUGAUCAGAGCUGGUCAUCUGAAAGAUUAACUUGGCAGAAGUUUGAAGAUUGAAGAAAAGUAGUGGAGUGAGAAGGCCAAUUCUGACAGUACAUCAGCAGUCCAAAUAGGAGAUGAUAAUGAGGGAAAGGUGAGUGGGAAGGGCAAGGAAAAGACAGCUGUGGGGAAUUCAAUAAACGCUGAAUCAGUGGCUUGGUGGUGAGGGAAGGAUGAAGAAGAGUUAGAAGAAUCAGAAUUGACUGAAAAUUUG